UAAGCAUAUCAAUAAGCGGAGGAAAAGAAACUAACAAGGAUUCCCCUAGUAACUGCGAGUGAAGCGGGAAAAGCUCAAAUUUGAAAUCUGGCGGUUCUUUAACUGUCCGAGUUGUAAUCUAGAGAAGUGUUACCUGUGCUGGACCGUGUAAAAGUCUCCUGGAAUGGAGCAUCAUAGAGGGUGAGAAUCCCGUCUUUGACACGGACUACCUGUACAUUAUGGUAUGCUCUCAAAGAGUCGAGUUGUUUGGGAAUGCAGCUCAAAAUGGGUGGUAAAUGCCAUCUAAAGCUAAAUAUUGGCGAGAGACCGAUAGCGAACAAGUACCGUGAGGGAAAGAUGAAAAGAACUUUGGAAAGAGAGUUAAACAGUACGUGAAAUUGCUGAAAGGGAAACGCUUGAAGUCAGUCGCGUUGGCUAGAAAUCAGCCUUGCUUUUGCUUGGUGUACUUUCUUGUUGACGGGUCAGCAUCAAUUUUGAUCAUUGGAUAAAGUCUUUGGGAAUGUGGCAUCUUUUGGAUGUGUUAUAGCCCAUUUUCGUAUACGGUGGUUGGGAUUGAGGAACUCAGCACGCCUGCAAAGGCUGGGUCACUUUUGACCACGUUCGUGCUUAGGAUGCUGGCAUAAUGGCUUUAAUCGACCCGUCUUGAAACACGGACCAAGGAGUCUAACAUGCCUGCGAGUGUUUGGGUGGAAAACCCAUGCGCGUAAUGAAAGUGAAAGUUGAGAUCCCUUCACGGGGAGCAUUGACGCCCGGACCAGACCUUUUGUGACGGAUCCGCGGUAGAGCAUGUAUGUUGGGACCCGAAAGAUGGUGAACUAUGCCUGAAUAGGGUGAAGCCAGAGGAAACUCUGGUGGAGGCUCGUAGCGAUUCUGACGUGCAAAUCGAUCGUCAAAUUUGGGUAUAGGGGCGAAAGACUAAUCG
rnacentral:rRNA from 1 species